ACACGAACCGCACGAACGUUAUUCGGAAUCAUUGGGCUUAAAGGGUGCGUAGGCGGUGCGGAAAGUUGGGUGUGAAAUCCCUCGGCUCAACCGAGGAACUGCGCUCAAAACUUCCGUGCUAGAGUGAGACAGAGGUGAGCGGAACUGAUGGUGGAGCGGUGAAAUGCGUUGAUAUCAUCAGGAACACCGGUGGCGAAGGCGGCUCACUGGGUCUCUACUGACGCUGAGGCACGAAAGCUAAGGUAGCGAACAGGAUUAGAAACCCCGGUAGUCC
rnacentral:rRNA from 1 species